GUGGCAGCCUUGUAGACUGAAGUUCUCUACAUAUUCAAGAGUCCAAAAGGAAAUGAGUAGUAGCAGUGCAAGCUUCUCCACACUGCCCAUCAAUAUACCUCAAUCCUGACACAGAGGGAUCAUCUGUAAAGAUGAGAAGGUAACUCACUCUUCGUGUUCACUGUGUGCAAUAG
ensembl:misc_RNA